UCACAUUAUCUCUUUAUUUCUACUCUCUCCUUCCAUCUCUUUCCCUCUCUCUCUUUCCCUCUCUCCUCUCCUUCUCAGGAUGGACACAGGAUGUGAAGAGAGCAGGUGGCUGACAGACUCACAGCAACACCCUGUGGCGUGCCCAAGCCUGUGGCUAUUCCCAUUUCUCCUGGUAUUCCCAGUCCUCCUCCUGGCUUGGCUGGGCUCCUCUCCAGCUUCCUGUAGUGGAGUGUUUGGCAUCACGCCGUGCCCAGGAACACACACUGCAGCCAUGCCUGUGGGCAUGAAGUGUGCGUGUGGGAGAGAGAGAGGGCGUGUCAGAGGGGGUGGAGUAAAGGUAAUGUCUCUCUCAAACACACACACACACACACACACACACUACUUAGCAGUGCCACACUUUCUCACAUGGUUGUGGGCUUCCUUUUCUUUACUAGUUUUUGUUGACCGCUGAGAAAGACAUACCCUCUGUGUUUGGUAGAGCAGGAGUCAGAGGAGAGGACAGGAGAGGGGUCAGACUCACCCAGGUAGACAGAGGUAGGAGUGGACGGAGGGCGACACCCAUGGAGGAAGGUCACUCUGAUAUUCCCCACCACUGACCCCCUUGUCUUGCGUAGCCAGACAUCGUAUUCUUGCAAUCGUAAAAAAGCUAGUGACACGUUGAUGACUCGGCUGGUAUCCUUGUGCUUUCUCAGGAAAUGGGAGGCUGUGGAGGAUAUGACAAACAGCCCUCAUUCAGUCAGCAAACUAACUGGACAGCUCUACUGUACGCCACAGGGGACAGACCCUUGGCAGGCAGAGAGGUCGCUGAGCUCUGAGAACAACAGUUAGUUGGGUGGAUCUUCUUCACAGCUCUACUGUUAAGAGGUAGUGUCCAAAGUGUGGAGGAUGAUGUCACACGUCAGCUGUCCUCAUAGCUGGGCUUCCAUGGCAACGACAUUCAUCAGAAUGACUUCCUGCAAAAGCAAAGCACUGUCACGAUCACUUUCUGUACUGACAGAUCACUUUAUACGGAUAAUUAUUGUGUUUGUGUAAGGUUAAGCAUUGAAAUGCUAAGCCAAAUGAGUGGACUGUCUUUGUAAAUCUACUUGUCAUCCAUGUCACAACUGCUGCACAGAGUUUCGAAAUAAGCAAAGUAUCCUCCAAAAUCUUUGCUGCUGCCGUGCAACCACUGCAUCCCUAUUGUCCAGCAGGGAAAGUCUUCCCCCAGAGGCUGGUUUCACAUGGUGGUUUAGAUGAAUGUUCCCAGUGUCUAGCACCAUUUGAAAUCAGUGUUCUUGGGGACAGGAGAACAGCACUGGGCCUCUGAUAGUGUCAGUCAGUCUACUGGAGCCAUCCUCUCUCUCUCCCCUUUAAAGGAUGACUGAUUUCCUCUGGUGUUUAGAGCCCCUUAAAGCCUUCUAGCACCAUUUGAAAUCGGUUAUAAUGACUGGGGAUCAAUGCCUCAAUGUCUUCACGAUGUCUACAUGUCAACUCUACAGUCAAGCAGACAGGAAAUGAAUUGGAUGAAUGUUCGUAUUAUACAGGGUCUGCUCUACAGAUCCUGGAAUCUAAAUGAGUUGGACAGGAGCUCAUUUCCAGUGGGACAGUUUUAAAGUUUUUAUUGAAUAAAUGUUCAAUAAAACUGAAUUGAU